CAGUCGCCGCGGGAACACCAGCAGCCCAAGUGGUGGUCGCGCUUAUUGGGCCUAAAGCGCUCGUAGCCUGGCCGGUAAGUUCCCCGUGAAAUCGGGUCGCCCAACGAUUCGGCUUGCGGGGAAUACUGUCGGUCUUGGGGCCGGGAGACGCCGAGGGUACUCCGGGGGUAGCGGUGAAAUGCUGUAAUCCUCGGGGGACUACCAGUGGCGAAGGCGCUCGGCGAUAACGGGCCUGACGGUGAGGGGCGAAAGCUGGGGGCGCGAACGGGAUUAGAUACCCCCGUAGUCCCUGUCUCUUAUA
rnacentral:rRNA from 1 species